GUGGUAACUGUAAGCACGGAAGACUGUAUCUUUACACAUCGUGGACGCAAAAGAACCCUGGAAGGAGGUUUUGGAGAUGCUCCAAGUAUAAAACAGAUGAUUGUGGUGCGUUCCAAUGGUAUGAUGGAGAGCCUUCGGCAGAAUUGUUCUUGAAGAUUGGCUAUUUACUGGAACAGAUCAAAUUGCUGAAUGGGCAAGUGCGAAACCAGGAGAUUCUGAUUGCAGAGAAAGAUGAACAACUUGCUAGGAUUAGGGAAGCACAACAGAGAGCGGCAAUAACGUUUGAGAAGCUCAUUGAUGAUCGAGAUAGGCUCAUUGAAGAGAAUCGGAAGUUGAAGUCUGAUGAUGAAGGUUCGCAGAGUUGCGGCAGGUGAUGACAUUGGAGCUCGAAGAAGGUUGUAGGCUGUUUGUAGGAAGUAUGUAGGUUUAUGUAGGAAGUAUGUAGGUUUAUGUAGGAAGUAUGUAGGAAGUAUGUAGGAAAGUAUUUAACUCUUUUUGGUGCUAGCAACGUAAAAUAUUGUGCUUUAGAAUAUGAUAUGUAAUAUUUUGUGAAUUGACUUUGGGUCAAUCUUGUGCUUUAGAAGAUGAUAUGUAAUAUUUUGUGAAUUGACUUUUGGUCAAUCUUGUGCUACUGUUGUGUAAUAUGUACUAAUGAAGUGAA